GCGGGGGAAGGUAGCUUGCUACCGGACCUAGCGGCGGAGGGUGAGUAAUGCUUAGGAAUCUGCCUAUAGUGGGGGACAACAUCUCGAAAGGGAUGCUAAUACCGCAACGUCCUACGGGAGAAAGCAGGGGAUCUUCGGACCUUGCGCUAAUAGAUGAGCCUAAGUCGGAUUAGCUAGUUGGUGGGGUAAAGGCCUACCAAGGCGACGAUCUGUAGCGGGUCUGAGAGGAUGAUCCGCCACACUGGGACUGAGACACGGCCCAGACUCCUACGGGAGGCAGCAGUGGGGAAUAUUGGACAAUGGGGGGAACCCUGAUCCAGCCAUGCCGCGUGUGUGAAGAAGGCCUUAUGGUUGUAAAGCACUUUAAGCGAGGAGGAGGCUACUCUAGUUAAUACCUAGGGAUAGUGGACGUUACUCGCAGAAUAAGCACCGGCUAACUCUGUGCCAGCAGCCGCGGUAAUACAGAGGGUGCGAGCGUUAAUCGGAUUUACUGGGCGUAAAGCGUGCGUAGGCGGCUUAUUAAGUCGGAUGUGAAAUCCCCGAGCUUAACUUGGGAAUUGCAUUCGAUACUGGUGAGCUAGAGUAUGGGAGAGGAUGGUAGAAUUCCAGGUGUAGCGGUGAAAUGCGUAGAGAUCUGGAGGAAUACCGAUGGCGAAGGCAGCCAUCUGGCCUAAUACUGACGCUGAGGUACGAAAGCAUGGGGAGCAAACAGGAUUAGAUACCCUGGUAGUCCAUGCCGUAAACGAUGUCUACUAGCCGUUGGGGCCUUUGAGGCUUUAGUGGCGCAGCUAACGCGAUAAGUAGACCGCCCGGGGAGUACGGUCGCAAGACUAAAACUCAAAUGAAUUGACGGGGGCCCGCACAAGCGGUGGAGCAGGUGGUUUAAUUCGAUGCAACGCGANGAACCUUACCUGGCCUUGACAUACUAGAAACUUUCCAGAGAUGGAUUGGUGCCUUCGGGAAUCUAGAUACAGGUGCUGCAUGGCUUUCGUCAGCUCGUGUCGUGAAAUGUUGGGUUAAGUCCCGCAACGAGGGCAACCCUUUUUCUUACUUGCCAGCAUUUCGGAAGGGAACUUUAAGGAUACUGCCCNUGACAAACUGGAAGAAAGGCGGGGGACGACUUCAAGUCAUCAGGGCCCUUACGGCCAGGG
rnacentral:rRNA from 1 species